rnacentral:rRNA from 1 species
GCAUAUCUAUAAGCGGAGGAAAAGAAACCAACAGGGAUUGCCUCAGUAACGGCGAGUGAAGCGGCAACAGCUCAAAUUUGAAAUCUGGCUCUUUCAGGGUCCGAGUUGUAAUUUGUAGAGGAUGCUUCGGGCGUGGCGCGGGUCUAAGUUCCUUGGAACAGGACGUCAUAGAGGGUGAGAAUCCCGUAUGCGACCCAUCGCCUCCGUCCAUGUGAAGCUCCUUCGACGAGUCGAGUUGUUUGGGAAUGCAGCUCAAAAUGGGUGGUAAAUUUCAUCUAAAGCUAAAUAUUGGCCAGAGACCGAUAGCGCACAAGUAGAGUGAUCGAAAGAUGAAAAGCACUUUGGAAAGAGAGUUAAAAAGUACGUGAAAUUGUUGAAAGGGAAGCGCUUGCAACCAGACUUGCUCGCGGUUGCUCAGCCGGUGUUCUCACCGGUGCACUCUUCCGCGAUCAGGCCAGCAUCGGUUUGGGCGGCUGGAUAAAGGCUUCGGGAAUGUAGCUCCUCUCGGGGAGUGUUAUAGCCCGGGGUGCAAUGCAGCCUGCCCGGACCGAGGACCGCGCUUCGGCUAGGAUGCUGGCGUAAUGGUUGUAAGCGACCCGUCUUGAAACACGGACCAAGGAGUCUAACAUCUAUGCGAGUGUUUGGGUGUCAAACCCAUGCGCGUAAUGAAAGUGAACGGAGGUGGGAACCCUUAAGGGUGCACCAUCGACCGAUCCUGAUGUCUUCGGAUGGAUUUGAGUAAGAGCAUAGCUGUUGGGACCCGAAAGAUGGUGAACUAUGCCUGAAUAGGGUGAAGCCAGAGGAAACUCUGGUGGAGGCUCGCAGCGGUUCUGACGUGCAAAUCGAUCGUCAAAUUUGGGUAUAGGGGCGAAAGACUAAUCGAACCAUCUAGUAGCGUGAGAUACCUGACGAGUU